UUACGCCGCCGGGCGGCGCAAUAAACGAACUGUCAGAAUAUCAAGAUCACAAUAAACGUAACAAAAAUAGACGGAGGAAAAGAUUGCGAUUUUGUAAUCAAUUAGGCAGUUGCACAAGGAGAAAGAAAGAACCUCACCAUGUCCCGCUUCAGGACGUUCAUGAACAACAACAUGGUCAUCAUCGUGAUGAUUCCGGCCCUGAUCGGCAUCCACUGGGGAUGGUAUCAGCUGCAUCAGAACGAAGCGCUAGUUCCGGCCAACGAAAGGAAGGACAUGCCGCUGUUCAAGAUGAUCAGCAAAGGAUGGAACAAAAUCAGCGGAAAUGAAUCGAAGAAAGAGGAUCCCCCUAAAUGAAGGUGAGAUUUGGUCAGUGUAAAUUAUCUGUAAAUAAAGGAGACCCAGCCGUUACAUUUUCUAGAGUAGGA